rnacentral:rRNA from 1 species
GUUGUUUCGGUUAAAAAGCUCGUAGUUGGAUUUCUGCCAAGGCUUGAGUCGUCGCCAU